GUAGGUGGCAAGCGUUGUCCGGAAUUAUUGGGCGUAAAGCGCGCGCAGGUGGUUCUUUAAGUCUGAUGUGAAAGCCCCCGGCUCAACCGGGGAGGGUCAUUGGAAACUGGGGAACUUGAGUGCAGGAGAGGAAAGUGGAAUUCCACAUGUAGCGGUGAAAUGCGUAGAUAUGUGGAGGAACACCAGUGGCGAAGGCGACUUUCUGGCCUGUAACUGACACUGAGGCGCGAAAGCGUGGGGAGCAAACAGGGAUUAGAUACCCUGGUAGUCCACGCCGUAAACGAUGAGUGCUAAGUGUUGGGGGGGUUUCCCGCCCCUCAGUGCUGCAGCUAACGCAUUAAGCACUCCGCCUGGGGAGUACGGUCGCAAGACUG
rnacentral:rRNA from 1 species